UCUCAUCGUGACUCGCCACUCCUAAUCCCCUUCGCCCACUCGUCUGCGCCGUUCGAAAUGCUCGCGCUCCGCCGCCCGACUCCCCCGCCCGUCCUCCGCCGCCGCCCGAUCCUUCCGCCGUAGCCCUCCGUGCCGCCGCGGGAUACAGCGGGAGAACCGCCCUUCGACCGGAGCCCUAGGGUUUCCUUUGCCUUCCCGCAGUCGCUUUUGUCCGCAGGCGGUGGUGUUCCUGGAAGAGGGAAGCGCGUUAGGGUUUGUGGGCUCGACACCAUGCCUCCCGGGCGGAGGAGAGGUGGGAAUCGGGUUAAGAACUUGGAACAGCUCAAGCCGGGGGAUCUCGUUCUCGCCAAGGUGAAGGGGUAUCCUGCUUGGCCCGCGAAGAUAAGCAGGCCAGAAGAAUUUGAUCGAUCACCAGAUCCUAGGAAAUACUUUGUUCAGUUCUUUGGGACUUCUGAGAUUGCCUUUGUUUUACCAGCUGAUAUUCAGGUGUUUACUGAUGAGUCAAAGGGUAAGUUAAUAGCUCGUUGCCAGGGUAAAACAGUGAAAUAUUUCACUAGUGCUGUGGAGGAGAUUUGUGAGGCUUUUGAAGAAUUGAACAAGAAACACUCAGGAGAAUCAGGGCAGGAUAUUGUCAGGAAUAGUUCUGCCCUUGCAUCUCCCUCGGUUAGUGGUUUCGAAGAUAGCAAGCAUCUAAGGGAACAUCAUGAGCCAUCACAUUAUAAUGGAAGAGGUGCGAAUGACUGCUCGAAUAAUGAGCUACAUGGGAUGGAGCUGGGUUCAAGGAGCCAGGAGGAAGAUGUAUCUUCUGAUCUGACUUUAGGUGGACCUGGAUCCCUCUUGAAAAGGAACAAAACUUCAAGCGAAGGUGUUCAAGUUCCAAAGAAAGAAAAACUUGCAGUUUCCGAGUCAGCUUCUCAUACUUGUUCUGGUACGGAGGAAAAAUUAAUGUGUGCUAAUUCUGAUGUUAGUAAGAGAAAUGAACCAGAGACGUUACCCAAAACUGAUACUAUAGAGCCACUUCCAAAAAUCUAUUCUCAUGAUGGACUUGAGGAUUCCAGUGAUUCUAAAGAUGAAAAUGAAUCUCAGGAGAAAAAUGCAGGUAAUGUGCUGAAGGUUCUAGAAAGUGAUCAUCAAACAACAAAGGUGACUGGAGAGGAUAGCAGAAGGGUGACUUCAAGAGACACUGACUUGAGAAAUUCAAAAAUAUCAAAGAGUCUGAAAAUAUCUGAAGAACAUUCCUUUGAAAAGGAAAAAAAGCAUAGUGAUCCGCGCAAGGAAGCCACAGAUGUUUCUGAAGAACAUGGCUAUAAAAGGUCAAUGUCUUCUGGUGAAUCAACAGUGAAGAUUUUCCAGGUUAGAAAUAAAAAGCGUACUUUGGAUGGAAGCAAAGAUUCAUGUCCAGUUAAAAGAUCAAAAAUGGUAGAGGAGAAUAGUGACAAGUGGAAGAACUCAAGACAUAAUGACUUAUCUAAUAUUGAUUCUAGAAGUAAAGGUGGAAAAGUUGUAAAGACAGAAAAAUCUGGAAUCUCCAUGAAAACUGAAAAUCAGUUAACAUCAGAAAUGAAAAUGCAUCAUGGUGGGAUGCCUAUAACUUGUAACGAGGUUGUCCUUUCGAUGACCCAAGGUUCUGAGGGCAUGGAUGCAGUGGCUACUACUGCCACUAAAGCCACUGCAAGUACAAUUCAAACUGGUUCUUGGUUUGUGAAAGAUGGAACGAUUGAUAGGUCCUUGAGUACACACAUCCGCUAUAGACGUAGAUCACGUAGGCUUAAUGAUGUUAAAGUGGAGGAAGGGCAGAAGACCCCAUUUCAUAAAGAUUCUGCUAGCAACUUGGUUUUAGCACAUUCAGGCAUCUCUGUUUCUGAAAAGAAGUUUCAUUCUGUGAUGGAGGGUAACAAAGAUUCUCCAUCUGGUUAUGCUGUGGCUGAAAAGCCUGAUCUUAUCAGGGAUGAGAAGCCUUCAGAUGAUGUGACAUUGCUUGUCAAGAUGGCUGAAAAGUACAAGGAGAGGAGGGUAGAAAAAUCAGAAAGCCUGCAAGCUUCUCAAAGUCCUAAGAAGCAAGAAUAUCAGAAAUCAUCAUUUGGUGAUUCUAGACCACCCAUUGUUUCACCCAAGACUCCUGUUGCUGUCGAUGAUGCAAUGAAGUCAAUAGAUCAAACAUUUAUAAAGCCUGAUAUAAAACCCUUGGGUUCUUAUUCAGGAAAGAAAUUUCAAAAUCAUCCAUCCAAACUUUCAAACCACCAAACUGAGAGGUUGAGCUCAUCCCGAAGUCAAGCUACACCAGAAAAAAAGAAGGCAUCAAGUAAAUCAGUUAGCGUAAAGGCGACCUCGAAAUGCAAUAUGCACACUACUGUGCUUACUGGAAAUAAGCUCAAUAACAAACACCCUGGGGGGCAGAAUUCUCAAAAGGAUGUUUUAGGACAUAAAAGAUCAGAAGCUUCUAAAGAAGAGAAAGUAGCGAGCUAUAGCGAAUCUGUGUUUACUGAUACCACUAAGUCAAUGAAGCACCUUAUCGCAGCUGCUCAAGCAAAAAGGAGAGACGCACAAUCACGAUGCCUGCCUCCUGUAAAUGCUAUUCCUAUAAUAUCGUCUCCAAAUGCACUCUUUGGAAGGAGCCCAAGUCCUGCUACACCAAUUCCCUUUUCAUCAACAAAUUCUGCUCAAAGGGAUAUUAAAGAAACUUAUGCUUCAAUGCCAUUUGAUUCUCCAUCUGCAGCUCCUUGGGAACUUCCUUCAACAAACAAAGUGGAAAUCAAAGAAUGUGAGCACAGGACUAGUCCUGAUCAAAGGCCACUGGGGGUUUCACUAAGUGGUGGUACUGAAGCAGCUGUUGCACGUGAUGCUUUUGAGGGCAUGAUAGAAACACUUUCAAGGACAAAGGACAGUAUUGGACGUGCAACUCGGCUAGCAAUUGAGUGUGCCAAAUAUGGCAUUGUUGGUGAGAUUGUGGAGCUACUUAUUCAGAAGUUGGAGACUGAACCCAGCUUUCAUCGUAGAGUUGACCUCUUUUUCCUCGUUGACUCUAUUACUCAGUGUUCACAUACCCAGAAAGGGAUUGCUGGGUCGUCAUACAUUCCUACUAUACAGGAAGCAUUACCACGCUUAUUGGCUGCUGCUGCGCCACCUGGGUCUGGUGCUCGUGAGAAUCGUCGUCAGUGUCUCAAGGUUCUGAGGCUAUGGCUUGAAAGGAAAAUUAUGCCGGAAUCUCUUCUUCGUCGAUACAUUGAUGACAUAGAAGUUCCUAAUGUUGAUGUGAAUGCUGGAUUUUUUCCUAGACGUCCAUCUCGAGCUGAGAGGUCUGUGGAUGAUCCAAUCAGAGAAAUGGACGGCAUGCAUGUUGAUGAGUAUGGAAGUAAUACAACAUUUCAGUUGCCCGGAUUGUUGUCUACUAAUGUAUUUGAAGAUGAGGAAGAUCACCCUACCACCCUUUGCAGAGAUUCUGGCAAUGAAAUGCCAGUUGGAGUUGGCAGUACUUUAGAAGAAUUAGACACUUGUUCUUUGACGCCGAGUGACAGACAUCAUCAUGUACUAAAAGAUGUAGAUGGUGAACUUGAAAUGGAAGAUGAUCCUUUGUCCAAAGAUGAGAAGGGCAUAAUGAGAAAUGAUUAUCAAAAAGUUGAAUUAAAGUAUCAGGAAUCUAGCAUAACUUUGGAAGCAACAUCGAUUAAUCCAGAUGAACUGCCCCCUUUACCUACUGCUCCUCCACCUCCUUUGGAUUCUCCACCACUACCGCCACCUCCUCCACCUUUGUCUCCCUCACCCCCAUCGCCGCCUCCCCCACCUCCACCAUCAUCACCAUCACCACCUCCACCCCCACCCCCACCACCCUUGCCAAUAUCUGGACAAACAUCUCUUCCUUCUGUUCCAAUUCUACCAACAGUGUCACCUUCUCCACCGUCUUUAUUUUAUGCCCCUGUGCAGGAAGAGCUCAGGACACAAAAUGGCAACAAACUAGUUGAUAUGGCUGGUAAUGCUGCAAUUCAGGGCCAGGAAACUGUUUUAAAUAGUGAAGUGGUUCUACAGCAGCAUCCAAGCUCUGUGGCAAAUAGAAUGAGCAAUACACAAUGUCUAAGUAACUUUACUUCAUCUAGGCAAUUUGAAUAUGGACAUAACGAGUUGUAUUUAGCCCCUCAGAAUUCUCAUCACAUUCACCAGUUUCAACAAGGCAAUUCAUCCUUCCACCAGAGGCCUUACAAUUCUCAUCCCCCUUCACAAACUCCCUCCACUUAUCCUCUUCCAACCGCACAAAUGCCCACUGGCCAUUUUCCACAUGUUACUCCCAUGAGUCAACAACCAGUGCUUCAGUCUCACAAUCCGUACACAUUGACAUCUGUUCCAAAUGGUCAAAGACAAGUUUUGUCUGAUGAACAAAGGAAAGUGCAUUCUAGUGAUUUUAGCCCUGAUAAUCAGCAUGCUGCUUGGGUGUCUGGAGCAAGACCAUCAUGCUCAGGCGCCCCUAUUGUUCAGGAUGGAUUUAUGAGGUCUACCAGGGAAAGACCUUUGUCGAACCCUAUGGGAUUUCAGCUUCCUGUGCAUAAUCCAAGGCCUUCUGGAAGUUCAGUCUCAGGCCAUGGUUUUCGCCAAGUGCUGCCAGGCAGAUCAGAUGUUCCUGGUCUUAAUUGUUGGAGACCAGGCUAAAGUCAGCUGUAUGCACAUGUUUAGAUAUGUUUUAUCCUAAGACGUCUGAGAAUUUGAGACCCGAGCUGCAGUCAAUGUGAGAUGCUAUCAAAGAAUCAGAGUUGUGAUAAUUGGUUUAGUCUUUUGACAGGAAUAUGUACAUUCUAAUUGUCUUAGCAACUGCAUCGAACAUACUGACUUCGUUAAUGUGAUUCACUAGAUAAAUGGUGGUUUAUAUGAAUACGUAAUUAUAUCUUGGAUUCCUUUUGGGGACGCUGAAAAAGUUCAUAGAGAUUUUGUGCCAGAUAAGCCACUUCAAAUGCUGAGCCAGCAGGUGUUGAGCUUGUGCAAUGUCUUAUGUCGCCAUCUAGAAGUAGUAGCCAAAACCAUAGGAAUUCUGCAGCUGUCUAUAUCGAUGUGAAGAAUGAAGAAUCUCCAUGGAAGUUUUGUGGGCAUCAGAAACACUAAUGUAUUUAUUAACCACACCUUGUUUACUUGCUCAUGGCUUAGGAUCUUUGACAAGGCAACAUGUGUGUUAGAUAUUGUUAGGUUCUUUAGACAGUAGCCAGAAACAUUUAUUUAUAGUUUCUAAUCUCCAUAUCUGAGCACGAACGCUCAUGCUAAUGUAUUUAUUAACCACACCUUGUUUACUUGCUCAUGGCUUAGGAUCUUUGACAAGGCAACAUGUGUGUUAGAUAUUGUUAGGUUAAUUAAUCUGUUAAUAAAGAUAGAUCUAUCAAACUCAAUUUUUUUUUUUUAUAAUCAUAGUACCUUUU